rnacentral:rRNA from 1 species
UACGAAGGGGGACUAGCGUUGUUCGGAAUUACUGGGCGUAAAGCGCGCGUAGGCGGAUCGCUAAGUCAGGGGUGAAAUCCCAGGGCUCAACCCUGGAACUGCCUUUGAUACUGACGAUCUGGAGAUCGGGAGAGGUUGGUGGAAUUCCGAGUGUAGAGGUGAAAUUCGUAGAUAUUCGGAGGAACACCAGAAGCGAAGGCGGCCAACUGGCCCGAUACUGACGCUGAGGCGCGAAAAGCGUGGGGGAGCAAACAGG